rnacentral:rRNA from 1 species
UACAGAGGUGGCAAGCGUUGUUCGGAAUUACUGGGCGUAAAGGGCGCGUAGGCGGUCCUGUAAGUCCUGUGUGAAAUCCCUCGGCUCAACCGAGGAACUGCACAGGAAACUGCGGGACUUGAGUUCGGGAGAGGGAAGCGGAAUUCCGGGUGUAGCGGUGAAAUGCGUAGAUAUCUGGAGGAAUACCGGUGGCGAAGGCGGCAUCCUGGACCGGCAUUGACACUGAUGAGCGAAAGCCAGGGGAGCAAACGGG